CUUGUUCUAGAAGUUUUGGAAGGUUAUCAUCUUAAAUUGGAAAGGAAAUAAUUUAAUUUUCUUUUGAUGCAUAUUCUAUUUUAAAUGUGUGGCUUCUUAAAUUUACUUAAUACAAACAAUCCCACACUUUAGUGUCUGGUGUUUUGCCACUUUGUCCAAGCUGCUGUGUGUUUUACUCGGCUGAUCACUAGGUGUCUCUCCAAAUCCAUGCUAUCCUUUGCUAACACAGUGCUUACAGCUCUCUGGUGGAAUCCUUCAGGCCAUAGAUGCUUCCCUUUGCACUUGGCAUCAAUUUUAAGUAGUCUGGAUUACUGGUCUACCCAGAGGUCUAGGCAAAGCUGGUGAUUUCACAGGCAGAAGAAACAGAGGGCUCAUCUCCUUUAUUUGGAGUUAGACAGGCAUUCCUCUCUGUGUGGAAAUCCUAGGGAGAACUUACAUUCUGGAAGAAUUUAUAUUAGCUGGUGUAGACCUCAGUGAUUUGCACUGAUGUCCAUCAUAUAGAGUCCUGGGACUUUCUAAGGGUUGUUGAACUGACGGCUGUUUGCCUGCUGUGUGCAUGUGAUCAUGUCGAGUAGACAGAGCCCACCAUGCCAGUACAGCUUGGGAACAAACAUGGCCCAUCCAUGUAACCAAGAAGCCUAAGCUCUGUAGUCUCCUCAACAAGUGCUGCUGGGACUGAACACUCACAUGUAGGAUGAGAGCAGAUCCCUUACUCCUAACCACCAAAGGCAGCUCAGCCUGGAUCCACAGCCUUCAUGUGAGAGCAGACUCUGCAGUAAGGAAACACUGAAAGCUACAGGCACAGGCGGUGGUUCUGAGUCUAACAGUUCAGGGGGUCACAGCAGGAAUCUAAUAGAAGUUCAUUAAAGCCUAUAGCUUCUGCAUCACAAAGGAAACGAUGGACAGAAGAAGACACAGCCUGAAGAGUGGGAGAAGAAAAUCUCCAGCUCUCCGUCUCACUGGACAUUAAUAUCCAGAGUAUUGAAAUCCCUCAAGCCCCAAAGCACUAACAAGCCAAUUAACACAACAACAAUGAACAAAACAUGCCGAAUAGACACUUUGCAAGGGAGAUAAAUAUCCAAUAAAUAGACAAAAAUGGCAAAUCAAAUGCCUUUAUCCCAGCACUCUCAAGGUAGAGGCAGGUGGAUCUCUGAGUUCUAGGUCAGCCUGUCUUGCAUACUGAGUUCUAGGACAGCCAGGGGUACAUAGAGAGACCCUGUCUCAAAACAACAACAAUAAAAAACUACAUUGAGGGCUGGCAAAAUUGACUGUGAGUCUGGCAACCCAAGUUCAAUUUCUGGAGCUCUAGUAAAGGUAGAAGGAGAGAAGUGACUGUGUAAAGCCAUCAUCACGAUUCCACAAAUGUGCAGCAGUGUGUGUGUGUGUGUGUGUGUGUGUGUGUGUGUGUGCACUCACACUUUUUAUUUAUGGAUGGCAAUUUGCUUUUCUUAUUUUUCUUUACAUUUGACAGUUCUAUACAUUUAUAAAGUGUCACACUCAUUGCCAGUCAGCCCCUCUUUGUUCUUCUUCACCCCACAGUGACUAUAUCACUAGAGAAAUAGACAUCACGACCCCAGCAAACAUUCACAGCUAUCAUCUCCUCAGAAAGGAGUGGGGCUGGUGGGAGCCUCCUUCCUCUAUCCACAAUGGAAUGUCGGAGUGAUGGGGAAUGCACUGUGUUUGUUUAUCUUAUUGAUUGUUAAAUAAAAUACUGUUUGGCCGAUGAGACAGCAAGUAGACGGGACUAGGAGUCAAAGAGGAUUCUGGGAAAUGUAGUAGAGAAGUGCUGAUCCAGGCAGGAAGUGACAUAGCAAGGAGACUCUUAUUUAAGCGAAGGGAAAACAGGAAGGGCCCUCUUUUCCCCUCUGCUCCUGCUCCAGCGGCACAAUGUGAUCCACAGCAAGGAGGGACGCCAAUAAGGCGUCCGAUAAGGAAAAUGAAGAAAACUGACCCGGAGAAAGAUGUUCAGUCUGCCCAGCUGUGAAUGAUCCAGUUUUCUUGAGUUUCUGCUGCUGCACCCUCCGCUGAUGUUGAACUCCAGCUUCUCUGGAUUCCAGCAUGGACCAAGGAUCAGCAACUCUCAAGGACUCCUCCAGGCUGUUAGCACCAAGUUGGGACUGCCAAGUGUCAAGGAAUGAAGCCACCCUGAGGAGAGACACUCACACCUUUGGCUAUCAGAAGAUUGAGACGAUGACCCUCAGGAAAUGAGAAUGUUUUCAGGAGUCUGUGCUGGGAGAAGUGAGAGACUGGGGCCUUGCUGCAGGAGAAGGGACUAGGCUCCCAGAUGGAGGCUUCACACUGCUCUGAUCACCUGUGGGAGAGACUGGAGCCCAGGCAGUGAAGGGCCAGUGGUGGGCGGGGCCAAGUCUGCUUAGCUAUGCACCCUCCUGCCCUUUAUUUACACCUAAGCAUCCUGUCAGGACCCGGAAGAUGGACUUGGAGGAGGGGUUACUGGGUCUCUCCUCCUCCUAACAUGUCUAACUGUAAUAAGUCUCUGCUGCUCACUGUGAUCUGUUUAUCUGGCUGGUGAGGACCAGUCGACAAGCUAGUGAACUUGCCUCUGUCGGAAGGCCCAGCGCGCGGCUGUGUGAAACGUAUUAAGCUUUGUGGGCACAUCACAGGGCCGGGAAGCUCUCGCGCUGCAAAUGGAUGGGAACCCACCAGACAUGGAUAGCCACAGGCACCUUGAAGCCAUGCGCCAUCCGUGAACCGCUGAGCAGCAUGCCCGUGUGUGUGGACCAGCGUGCAACCUGGACCUCCAUAUGUGCAAAGCAGGGUUCUAGGUGAGGUGUUACAGGAGGGUUGUCAGCCAGAGGCAGCUGCAUUUUUCCAGUUCAAUCUGUCACUGCCAUCUGGGGAUUUUUGUGCAGGAAUCAACUUGCUCUACUCGACAAGACCUCUCUGUGCUCUGCCCCUGUCCCAGGCCUGGCUUCACAAAGGUGUCCUCUGUAUAAAUUUGCAGGGAGUGGAAGGAGGGACAGGGAAAGUCACGACAAACUCCCGUAGGAAAAAAAAAUGCAACACCAGGGCGGAGACGUACAAAGGGCUCCUGCCCACAGGUCCAGCUUGCUCUAGCUGGAGUGCCUUGCACACUGCCCAGCGUGGAAACACACUCGAGUCCUAAUAAGAUGGGUACACAGGAGGUCCUUGCCCUUCUGUGCUUGGUGAAAGGUUCAGGCAUUAUGCUGGCCUGCCCCUGUUACCUGGUGGAAUCCACUCAGGCAAUACCCUGGUCAGCCCAAGGUUCCAUGGGAAAGAAGUCUGCACGCAGGUGCAGAGGACCCCUUUAAAAGAUAGGCCCCUGCACCUUUACGCUCUCUCUGCACCUUUACACACUCUCUCUCU
rnacentral:lncRNA from 1 species